rnacentral:rRNA from 1 species
GAUGAACGCUGGCGGCGUGCCUAAUACAUGCAAGUCGAGCGAACGGACGAGAAGCUUGCUUCUCUGAUGUUAGCGGCGGACGGGUGAGUAACACGUGGAUAACCUACCUAUAAGAAUGGGAUAACUUCGGGAAACCGGAGCUAAUACCGGAUAAUAUUUUGAACCGCAUGGUUCAAAAGUGAAAGACGGUCUUGCUGUCACUUAUAGAUGGAUCCGCGCUGCAUUAGCUAGUUGGUAAGGUAACGGCUUACCAAGGCAACGAUGCAUAGCCGACCUGAGAGGGUGAUCGGCCACACGGGAACUGAGACAGGGUCCAGACUCCGACGGGAGGCAGCAGUAGGGAAUCUUCCGCGAUGGGCGAAAGCCUGACGGAGCAACGCCGCGUGAGUGAUGAAGGUCUUCGGAUCGUAAAACGCUGUUAUUAGGGAAGAACAUAUGUGUAAGUAACUGUGCACAUCUUGACGGUACCGAAUCAGAAAGCCACGGCUAACUACGUG